UGGGGAAUUUUGGACAAUGGGCGAAAGCCUGAUCCAGCAAUGCCGCGUGUGUGAAGAAGGCCUUCGGGUUGUAAAGCACUUUUGUCCGGAAAGAAAUCCUUGGCUCUAAUACAGUCGGGGGAUGACGGUACCGGAAGAAUAAGCACCGGCUAACUACGUGCCAGCAGCCGCGGUAAUACGUAGGGUGCAAGCGUUAAUCGGAAUUACUGGGCGUAAAGCGUGCGCAGGCGGUUUGCUAAGACCGAUGUGAAAUCCCCGGGCUCAACCUGGGAACUGCAUUGGUGACUGGCAGGCUAGAGUAUGGCAGAGGGGGGUAGAAUUCCACGUGUAGCAGUGAAAUGCGUAGAGAUGUGGAGGAAUACCGAUGGCGAAGGCAGCCCCCUGGGCCAAUACUGACGCUCACGCACGAAAGCGUGGGGAGCAAACAGGAUUAGAUACCCUGGUAGUCCACGCCCUAAACGAUGUCAACUAGUUGUUGGGGAUUCAUUUCCUUAGUAACGUAGCUAACGCGUGAAGUUGACCGCCUGGGGAGUACGGUCGCAAGAUUAAAACUCAAAGGAAUUGACGGGG
rnacentral:rRNA from 1 species